ACAUAGAGACUCUCUCUCUCUCUCUACCAAUGGCAACGCUUCAAGGGACCACAGCUGCUGGGCACAGAAACCAAAAAAGGCAACAGGCCCCACCCAACAGCUUGAACAUCAACUGACCUUAUGAUGAAGAAGGGGAUCAUUUGGAUAAAUGUGUUUUAUGAAGAAAAAAAAAACAGAUUAAGUCAUGUCAAGAUAUGUGUUUGCAUACUGCAUAGAUACACUCACAGGAAUAACUGAAAUGGUGUGUUUGAGAUGGGAUGCUAUUGAAUAUGUUGCUACAUUCCACUAGUAGGCUUUUGGAAAUGCGAAUCUGAGCUAGUGAUAAAGGCAGAUAUAUACUCAGCACAAUGACAGUACAUAUCUUCACACUGUAAAUAUACCUUCCCUGUCCUGCAAAUAAAAUAAAUCUUCAGAUGUAUUAGAUAACACACCGGUGAUGAUAAAAGAGCAGUGCUCCUUAUAAUAAAUUGCUUAGCUGAUGAACACGGAUGGCUAAAUGACUGUAGGCCAAUUGUGAGAGCUUGUGUGAUCUUUAGGACCUUCCAGUCACCCUGUUGUGUCGCAGCAAAGCUCAUGUUUACAAAGAACAAGAGGCAAUAUCCUUUAAACCUCAAAAGUAGAAGGAUGGGUCAGCAAUCAAGACAGGUCAACAAGGGCACCAUGUUUAAACAAAAUACUCCCCCCUCUUAUCCACACAUUAACUCACACAGACACUCACAAAGGCAUGGGAAGCCAGUCUGCUUUGUAUAACCUUGGGAGAUCAGAAUACAAAAAUACAAAAUAUCAACAACUCCCGUGUUGGGCAGUAGCAAACUACAAAUAAUAAACCAGUAAUUGGUGUGUAA